rnacentral:rRNA from 1 species
AACUGUGUGAAUUAAUGUGAAUCGCAGACUGCUUUGAACAUCC